UACGAAGGGGGCUAGCGUUGCCCGGAUUUAUUGGGCGUAAAGGGCGCGUAGGCGGAUAGUUAAGUCCGGUGUGAAAGAUCAGGGCUCAACCCUGAGAGUGCAUCGGAAACUGGGUAUCCUGAGGACAGGAGAGGAAAGUGGAAUUCCACGUGUAGCGGUGAAAUGCGUAGAUAUGUGGAGGAACACCAGUGGCGAAGGCGACUUUCUGGACUGUAACUGACGCUGAGGCGCGAAAGCGUGGGGAGCAAACAGG
rnacentral:rRNA from 1 species